CGUUGACAAAAUACAUAACAAUUAUUUUAAGAAUUAUAGAUAGUGUUGGCAUGUGGACUAAUAUGUUGUUGAGUUGUGUUCUUACACUGGUACAGUCAUGCCCUAUGAGAGAUGUAUGACUGCGCAUGUGCGAAAAUAAAUAAAGUGCAUUUUCCCCCGUUCUGGUUAAGACACCAAUGAUGAACAUGUGUGUUUAUUCCUCCGUUAAGUAAACCGGUAUUCCUGUCCUGAAGAUGUCAGCACCAACAGGUUAUGGGCCCAGGAGGGAACAUGGAAGCCGAUGGAAUAGAUUAUAUUUCGACGGAGAUGAAAAAAACUACGAGUUAUGGGAGACAAAGUUUUUGGGGCACUUGCGUUUGCUUGGGCUAAAGGCCGCCAUAUUGAGCGUGGAUGAAGAUGAAGAAGACAGAGAGAAAAAUGAAGAAGCCUACGCCGAAUUGAUACAGGUUUUGGAUGAUAAAAGCCUUUCCCUGAUAAUGAGAGAAGCAGCAGAUGAUGGGAGAAAAGCGUUGAAGAUAUUGAGGGAACAUUAUGCAGGUAAAGGGAAGCCACGUGUGAUUAGCCUCUACACUGAACUAACUUCUCUUCAGAAAGCCGCUGACGAAAGUGUUACGGACUAUAUCAUUCGUGCUGAGACGGCUAUUACAGCACUGAGAAAUGCUGAAGAGACUUUAAGUGACGGGCUGUUGAUUGCAAUGAUUCUGAAAGGUUUGCCCGAAUCAUUUAAGCCGUUUGCCAUCCACAUAACGCAGAGUGACGAGCCGACAACUUUUGGCGAGUUCAAAACCAAGUUGAGGAGCUAUGAAAGCACCGAGACGUUUAGCGCCAUUUCCACUGACGACAACGUGAUGAAGGCAAGUAACAUUAAAGUUAGCUGGCCAAGAGGGAGAGAUAAAGGGACCGAGAUAACCUGCUUCAACUGUGGCCAGAAAGGGCACAAGGCCCGGGAAUGUACCGUUACUGGAGAGCGCAAAGAACGGAGAAAGUGGUGUAGUUUUUGCAAGAGCUCCACUCAUACUGACGCAAAUUGCAGACGAAAAAGAAGAGACAAUGUGAAACAAGCAACAGAUGCUGAAAGCCACUCAUUUGCAUUCAGAAUAAGUGACUGUCAGGUUAGUGGACUGAAACAGAAAGGGCUGAUGGUUGAUACGGGAGCAACGUCACAUAUAGUCACGGACAUCGGGAAGUUUAAGGAGUUUGACGAGACUUUCAAACCGGAAAAACAUUCCGUGGAGCUGGCUGACGGAACAAGAACGAAUGGUGUCGCGGAGAGGAGAGGUGCAGCGGAGGUUUACCUGAGAGACAACACGGGUCGUCGGGUAAAAACAACGCUGAUGAAGGCGCUGUACGUGCCGUCGUUUCCACAGGACAUUUUCUCUGUUAAAGCAGCGACAGCCAACGGAGCUUCAGUCAACUUUCGACAGGGGUGUAACAAGCUCAUCCACAAGAACGGUACCACUUUUGACAUCGAGGAGUACGAUAGACUUUACUAUCUUAACACUGUAAGUGAUGAAUAUGAUGAUGGAUGUCAUGGGUGCUAUGAUAUUCACACAUGGCACAAAAUUCUUGGACACUGUAAUUUUGAGGAUGUGUCAAAGUUAGAAAAUGUGACAGAGGGAAUGAAAAUCACAGGUAAGAUUGACAAAUCUACCCUCAACUGUGAAAUCUGCACUCAGGGAAAAUUUGUUCAGAGCAGAAACAGAGAGCCUGAUGAAAAAGCAAAAGCGGCUCUUGAGCUUGUGCACACUGAUUUGGCUGGCCCUAUUGAGCCAGAGGCGAAAGAUGGGUUCAGAUAUACUCUAGCAUUUACGGAUGAUUAUUCAGGGGCAGUUUUUGUGUAUUUCCUAAAAGCAAAGAGUGAUACUGUAAAAGCUACUGAGAAGUUUAUUGCUGAUGUGGCCCCUUAUGGGAAAAUAAAGUGUGUCAGGUCAGAUAAUGGCACAGAAUUCACAGCCAAAGAGUUCCAGUCACUGCUCAGUAAGAACGCCAUAAGACAUGAAACUUCAGCCCCUUACUCACCCCAUCAAAAUGGGACGGCUGAGAGAAAUUGGAGAACAUUGUUCGAAAUGGCAAGAUGCAUGCUACUUGAAAGCAACCUACCAAAGAACUUGUGGACAUAUGCUGUAAUGACUGCUGCAGUAAUUCGCAAUAGGUGUUACAAUAAGCGUGUAGGACAGACUCCACACUACAUGUUUACUGGGAGAAAGCCUGAUCUUUCAAAGAUGAAAGAAUUUGGAUCUGUUUGCUAUGCAUAUAGACAGAACAAGAAAAAGUUAGACUCAAGAUGUGAAAAGGGUAUUUUUGUCGGGUAUGAUAAAAAUAGUCCAGCAUACCUAGUCUACUACCCAGACACUGGGAAAGUUCUUAAAAACAGAUUAGUCAAGUGUGUUACAAAAGGUGUAGUCGAACACCAAACUCAGACAGAUUUGGAAAUCAGUGAUGAUCUUCAUGGGGAGAGAUUUGAAAACCCCAUGCCGAAAGCCAAGAUGGCAGAUCAAAACUCAGAAGAGACACAAGAUGUGCAAAUUGAGACUUCAGAUGGUCAGAGUCCACGCUAUCCAGACAGAGCGAGGAAGAAACCCCAGUACUUAAAAGACUAUGAGUGUAAAGUGAAAUGUGAUGACCAGAUACCACCUAGUGUUGACUACUGCUACAGAGUAAUGUGCAAUGCACCACAAACCUUCAAAGAAGCAAUGAUUUCACCAAAAUCAGAGAUUUGGGCUACUGCUAUGAAGGAGGAGAUGGAUUCCCUUAGGGAAAAUGAUACAUUCACAUUAACCACACUGCCAGAGGGUAAAAAUGCAGUGGGGGGCAGGUGGGUCUAUGCGGUCAAAAACAAUUCAGAUGAGACUGAGACAUACAAGGCAAGAUAUGUUGCAAAGGGGUAUAGUCAAGUGGCAGGAAUAGACUAUAAGGAGACUUUUUCUCCAACUGCAAAUAUGACAUCAGUACGCUGUUUGAUGCAGCUAGCAGCUCAGUAUGACUUAGAGUUACAUCAGAUGGAUGUCAAAACAGCAUAUCUACAUGCUCCUAUUGACUGUGAAGUGUACAUGGAGCAACCAGAGGGUUUUGAAGUAAGGUCAGAUACAGGUGAGCAACUAGUCUGCAAACUGAACAAGUCACUGUACGGCCUGAAACAGUCAGGAAGGAACUGGAACAAAAUGUUGCAUGAUCACCUUAGUGAAAAUGGUUUUACACAGAACCCAGCUGAUCACUGUGUUUAUAACAAACAAACUGCAACAGAAAGGAUCAUUUUGAUAAUUUGGGUCGAUGAUCUAAUUAUCGCUGCUAGUGAUAGUGACUCACUCACAAGUGUAAAAGAAAUGUUACGUGAAAAAUUUAAGAUGAAAGAUCUUGGGAGGCUUGGACAUUUCCUAGGCAUUGAUUUUACACAAAGUGAAGGGAAAAUAACGAUGAACCAAACAAGGUACAUAACCAAGAUACUGGAAAGGUUUGGUAUGUCAGACUGUAAAACAAGGUCAACACCAUGUGAACAAAAACCAAACUUUGAUGGUGAUGGUGAACUUAUUGAUUCAAAAAGGUAUCGUGAAGUGAUAGGCAGCUUGAUAUAUGUAAUGACAUGUACAAGACCGGAUAUCAGUUGGAUUGUCAGCAAGCUGUCACAAUACCUAUCAGAACCAAAAGAGCAACACUGGAUAACAGCUAAACAUGUGUUGAGGUACUUGAAGGGAACAAUGAAUCAGGAGUUGUGUUACAAAAAGGGGGUGGAAAAACUCAACCUUGUAGCAUAUAGUGAUGCUGAUUGGGCAGCAGAUCAAAGUGACAGACGAAGCAUAACAGGGUAUUGUUUUAGUUUAACUAAAUGUGGACCUGUCAUUUCAUGGAGGUCUAAGAAGCAGCCAACAGUAGCUUUAUCUACAUGUGAAGCAGAGUACAUGGCACUGGCUGCUACUACACAAGAAAGUUUGUACCUUGUACAGUUAUUGGGCGAGAUGGAUAGUGAGUGUCAAUAUACACCAGUAACAAUCUUUGAAGAUAACCAAGGUGCAAUUGCUCUGUCAAAGAACCCAGUAUGUCGUCAGAGAUGUAAACAUGUCGACAUCAGAUAUCAUUUCAUUCGAUCUGCACUCAGUGAUGGUAAAAUAAGUAUUGAAUAUUGUCCAACGGCAGACAUGGCUGCAGAUGUUUUGACUAAACCUGUAACGAAGUUCAAAAAUGAAAAAUUCUUGGGUUACAUGUUUGGAAUAUAAACUGACAUUUGUGAGAUGAAUAACUGUAAGCUAAAUGUGUUGAUAAAGUUAGGUUGAAUACGACUUGUACAGUAUAAGAGCAAGUGGGGGUGUUGGCAUGUGGACUAAUAUGUUGUUGAGUUGUGUUCUUACACUGGUACAGUCAUGCCCUAUGAGAGAUGUAUGACUGCGCAUGUGCGAAAAUAAAUAAAGUGCAUUUUCCCCCGUUCUGGUUAAGACACCAAUGAUGAACAUGUGUGUUUAUUCCUCCGUUAAGUAAACCGGUAUUCCUGUCCUGAAGAUGUCAGCACCAAC
ensembl:lncRNA